UCAGGUGGUUAUAACGUUGGGGAUCCACCUCUUCCCAUUCCGAACAGAGAAGUUAAGCCCAACGGUGCCGAUGGUACUGCGUCACAGUGGGAGAGUAGGACGCCGCCGUUUUUUUAGAAGAGAGAGAGGGAGUAUUCGUCGAAAGAUAGACGGAUGCUCCCUCUUCGCUUUCGCGGAGGGGAGAGAGAGGGAUGAA
rnacentral:rRNA from 1 species